rnacentral:rRNA from 1 species
AUGGCUGUUCGCCAUUUAAAGCGGUACGCGAGCUGGGUUCAGAACGUCGUGAGACAGUUUGGCCCCUAUCUGCUGUGAUCGUUGGAGAAUUGAGAAGAUCUGCUCCUAGUACGAGAGGACCGGAGUGGACGAACCACUGGUGUACCGAUUGUUCCUGUCAAGGGCAUUGUCGGGUAGCUACGUUCGGAAUGGAUAACCGCUGAAAGCAUCUAAGCGGGAAGCCAACUUCAAGAUAAAUUUUCCCUAUAGCCUCCUUGGAGAACACAAGGUCGAUAGGUGCUCGGUGUACGCAUAGCGAUAUGUUAAGCCUAGGCAUACUAACAGGCAAUUGCUUUUUUAAU